rnacentral:rRNA from 1 species
GACGGAGGAUGCAAGUGUUAUCCGGAAUCACUGGGCGUAAAGCGUCUGUAGGUGGUUUAAAAAGUCUACUGUUAAAGCUUGAAGCUUAACUUCAAAAAUGCCGUAGAAACUUUUAAACUUGAGUAUGGUAGGGGUAGAGGGAAUUUCCAGUGGAGCGGUGAAAUGCGUAGAUCUUGGAAAGACCACCAAUGGCGAAGGCACUCUACUGGGCCAUUACUGACACUAAGAGACGAAAGCUAGGGGAGCAAAUGGG